UAGCGGAUUUUGACACUUAUGACAUUUUUACUUUCGUCGACCGCACUAUGAAAACACAUUUGACAUAAAAUACUUCGUUUCUGCGUUCGGAUCUUAGCGUCAAUUUUACGAAAGCUCUAAUCCUUUCGUUUGAUUUUCGUUUGGUACUUCAGAGGUUUUAAAAUUGCUCAAUAACUCCUGUGUGAAGAAUUGUUGCGAUAGGAAAGUGCUGGGCGAAGUUGGAAGCGUCUCUAACUGCGUAAAACCUUCGUAACAUGGAAUUUGUAAGAACCUAUAGGACUUUGCCACCCCUUUUUGAAACCAUCUGCGAGGAUAUAGUUCCACUAAUUCCUCCAAAGAACAUAUACGGCGAAUUGAUACUACCACUAAGGAGUUGUUAGGGAGCUUUGGAACUAAGUAUAGAUGGGUCCAUGGCCCAGCAAACAGUCUCUGAGUGCCUCAGGAAAGUGUCUGAGUCAGCCUCAUAUAUUGACUAAAUUUAUAAAAUUUCCACAAAACCGACAAGAAAGGACUCUUAUUAAAGAACAAAUCAAAUAAUUAAACAACUACUAACUCGCUAGAGCUGCCAUAACCAACACUGCAUCACGCAUGGAAGAUUAACUACCAAAUAUAUGUUAUCGGAAAAUAAAACAUUAUUACAAUCAUUUUUGUAUUCGUUUUUUUAAUUUUUUAUUCAUUUCUUUUAACUCUCUCAGAAUCCCCUCGAGUACUUCUUUUUUUUCAGUUCAGUCAAUGCGAAGGACCCGAUUAGAGGUCUGCCUGUGUCGCUGGGCGCACUCGUCGUCGUACUCUCCUUGAAACUGUUAGGUGGAAUCAUAAGAAAAAUGUUAAUUGUUUAUUGUAAACAUUCAAAACAUGGUACAUAAAAAUAUGGGUUCUUAUUCCUACUGGGAUGAAAAAUAAUAAAAUUCACAGAAAGAUUCAAUAAAUUUUACCGUAAAAACCAUUGUGUAUAUCGAUGGGCAAAACUAAUGAUUUCUUUAAUAGAUCAAACCAAGGAAUUUACUUGGUAUUACACAAUAACUGCCUUUGCAAU